rnacentral:rRNA from 1 species
UACGAAGGGGGCUAGCGUUGCUCGGAAUUACUGGGCGUAAAGCGCACGUAGGCGGCUUUCUAAGUCGGCGGUGAAAUCCUGGAGCUCAACUCCAGAACUGCCUUCGAUACUGGAGAGCUCGAGUCCGGGAGAGGUGAGUGGAACUGCGAGUGUAGAGGUGAAAUUCGUAGAUAUUCGCAAGAACACCAGUGGCGAAGGCGGCUCACUGGCCCGGUACUGACGCUGAGGUGCGAAAGCGUGGGGAGCAAACAGG